AGUGCGCAAUUAAACGGUCAUCAAACAAGUAAAAUAUGUGCAAUUGGACAUGUUUCCAGUAAAACUCGAUCAUAUUGCUUAUAUGGUAUGUACUAAGAGUCGUUCUUUCCAGUGUCAUAUUACUUGGUAGUAAAUAUUAAAAUGUUUUAUAUUCAAAUUGCAUUAAAAGAAAUCAAAAAAAUGUCUCAAUUGCACAAAAUUUACUUGUUUGAUGAUUCGAUUAGUUCAGUUGCCUAAUUGCGCAGAAGGGGAAU